rnacentral:rRNA from 1 species
GCCGCAUGCUUUACCCCAUGCAAGUCGAACGGAAUCUUCGGAUUUAGUGGCGGACGGGUGAGUAACGCGUGAGAAUCUGGCUCUAGGUCGGGGACAACAGUUGGAAACGACUGCUAAUACCGGAUGUGCCGAAAGGUAAAAGGCUUGCUGCCUAGAGAUGAGCUCGCGUCUGAUUAGCUAGUUGGUGUGGUAAGAGCGCACCAAGGCGACGAUCAGUAGCUGGUCUGAGAGGAUGAUCAGCCACACUGGGACUGAGACACGGCCCAGACUCCUACGGGAGGCAGCAGUGGGGAAUUUUCCGCAAUGGGCGAAAGCCUGACGGAGCAAUACCGCGUGAGGGAGGAAGGCUCUUGGGUUGUAAACCUCUUUUCUCAAGGAAUAAGUUCUGAAGGUACUUGAGGAAUAAGCAUCGGCUAACUCCGUGCCAGCAGCCGCGGUAAUACGGAGGAUGCAAGCGUUAUCCGGAAUGAUUGGGCGUAAAGGGUCCGCAGGUGGCAAUGUAAGUCUGCUGUCAAAGAAUGAGGCUCAACCUCAUCAAGGCAGUGGAAACUACGUAGCUAGAGUACGGUCGGGGUAGAAGGAAUUCCUGGUGUAGCGGUGAAAUGGCGUAGAAUCUUUUUUUUUAUAAUAAAAUUACAGUAAUCAUAUAAUUCCCGAUGUAACGACACUCC